UUGUCUCCUAAAUAGAGACCAGUAUGAACGGCUAAAUGAGGACAAACCUGUCUCUUGCAACCAAUUAGUGAAACUGAUCUUCCAGUACAAAAGCUGGAAUAUAUACAUUAGACGAGAAGACCCUGUGGAGCUUUAAACAAAACACCAACAAACACACCAAACCAUUUAUUCUGGUGCCUAGUUUUAAGUUGGGGCGACUUUGGAACAAAACAAAACUUCCAAGCACAGAACAAAAACUUUCUAGCCAAGGCCAACAAGCCAAAGCCAAAAAUACGACCCAGUCACACUGAUCAACGAACCAAGUUACCCCAGGGAUAACAGCGCUAUCUUCUUCAAGAGUCCCUAUCGACAAGAAGGUUUACGACCUCGAUGUUGGAUCAGGACACCCAAAUGGUGCAGCCGCUAUUAAAGGUUCGUUUGUUCAACGAUU
rnacentral:rRNA from 1 species